AAGAAAAAUGGUGAAGUCAAUGCUACAGAAGUCAAGUCUUCAACUUCCAAAAAUAAAUGGAAGAAGAAAAAGGCCAACAAGGGUGGGAAGAUAUAGAAGAAUAAAAAAGAACCUAAGGGUCCAUACUUAUUCUGUACGAAAGAGAGCCACUGGAAGAGGAACUAUCGUGUAUACCUGACUACUUUGAAGAAGAAGUCAUAUGAAAAUCCUAAAGAAGGGGUUCAAGAUGACAAGAAGGCUUGACAGGAAUGAACUGCGGCUUAAGAUGGGCACUGGAGUUGAAGCUAUGGCAAUGAUUGUUGGAGACUUUAGUUUAUAAUUUGAUUCUACUACGAUUUUAUUAAAGGAUUGUUAUCAUGUUCCUUGCUUUAAAAGGAACCUUAUUUUGUUUCUAAGUUAGUUAAAGGCAAUUAUGUUUUUUCCUUUGAUAUCAUUCUCACCAUUUGUUUGAAUAAUAAGUUUAUUGUUUCUAGAUAUAUGCAAAGUGGUUUGUAUUU